AGAUUGAACGCUGGCGGCAUGCCUUACACGUGCAAGUCGAACGGCAGCACGGGAGCAAUCCUGGUGGCGAGUGGCGAACGGGUGAGUAAUACAUCGGAACGUGCCCAAUCGUGGGGGAUAACGCAGCGAAAGCUGUGCUAAUACCGCAUAAGGUCUACGGAUGAAAGCAGGGGAUCGCAAGACCUUGCGCGAAUGGAGCGGCCGAUGGCAGAUUAGGUAGUUGGUGAGGUAAAGGCUCACCAAGCCUUCGAUCUGUAGCUGGUCUGAGAGGACGACCAGCCACACUGGGACUGAGACACGGCCCAGACUCCGUACGGGAGGCAGCAGGUGGGAAUUUUGGACAAGUGGGACGAAAGCCUGAUCCAGCCAUCGGCCGCGUGCGAGGAUGGAACGGUCCGUUUCGGGUUUAGUAAACGUUGUCCUUUUAGGUAACCGGUAAACGUAAAAGUU
rnacentral:rRNA from 1 species